CUGCAAUUUGGCAGCACAUACACUAAAAUUUAAUGAUUCAGGGAAGAUGAUCAUGGCCCAUGUGCAAGGAUGACACAUAAACUCAAGAAGUGCUCUAUAGUUUU
ensembl:snRNA U6 U6 spliceosomal RNA